rnacentral:pre_miRNA from 1 species
AGUAAUAGGGCAUCUUUCUAUUGGCAGGCGACUCUGUCGAUUUGCCUCUCUUUUUUUUUGCAUUGUUCUUUUGGCUAUUGGCUAUGUCACUUGCCAAAGGAGAGUUGCCCUGUCACU